CAUGGGACGCUAGUUGUGAACAAGGUGUGAAGAGCCUAUUGAGCUACUUAGGAGUCCUCCGGCCCCUGAAUGCGGCUAAUCUUAACCACGGAUCAAGUGCCUUCAAACCAGGAGGUGGCUUGUCGUAAUGCGCAAGUCCGUGGCGGAACCGACUACUUUGGGUGUCCGUGUUUCCUUUUNUUUCNUNUGUGGCUGCUUAUGGUGACAAUCAUAGAUUGUUAUCAUAAAGCGAAUUGGAUUGGCCAUCCGGUG
rnacentral:other from 14 species